ACGUAGGGUGCGAGCGUUAAUCGGAAUUACUGGGCGUAAAGUGUGCGCAGGCGGCCGAGCAAGUCGAGUGUGAAAGCCCCGGGCUUAACUUGGGAAUUGCGCUCGAAACUACUUGGCUCGAGUGUGGCAGAGGAAGGUGGAAUUCCAGGUGUAGCGGUGAAAUGCGUAGAGAUCUGGAGGAACACCGGUGGCGAAGGCGGCAUCCUGGACCGGUAUUGACGCUGAUGCGCGAAAGCCAGGGGAGCAAACGGGA
rnacentral:rRNA from 1 species